rnacentral:rRNA from 1 species
UCGAGCGGCAGCGCGGGGCAACCUGGCGGCGAGCGGCGAACGGGUGAGUAAUGCAUCGGAACAUGUCCAUGUCGUGGGGGAUAGCCCGGCGAAAGCCGGAUUAAUACCGCAUACGCCCGAGAGGGGAAAGUGGGGGACUCGCAAGGGCCUCACGCGAUUGGGUUGGCCGAUGUCCGAUUAGCUAGUUGGCGGGGUAAGAGCCCACCAAGGCGAUGAUCGGUAGCUGGUCUGAGAGGAUGAUCAGCCACACUGGGACUGAGACACGGCCCAGACUCCUACGGGAGGCAGCAGUGGGGAAUUUUGGACAAUGGGGGCAACCCUGAUCCAGCCAUUCCGCGUGAGUGAAGAAGGCCUUCGGGUUGUAAAGCUCUUUUGUCCGGAACGAAACGGUGCAGGUGAAUAUCCUGCGCUACUGACGGUACCGGAGGAAUAAGCACCGGCUAACUACGUGCCAGCAGCCGCGGUAAUACGUAGGGUGCGAGCGUUAAUCGGAAUUACUGGGCGUAAAGCGUGCGCAGGCGGUUUUGUAAGCCAGAUGUGAAAUCCCCGGGCUUAACCUGGGAAUGGCAUUUGGGACUGCAAGGCUGGAGUGCGGCAGAGGAGACUGGAAUUCCUGGUGUAGCAGUGAAAUGCGUAGAUAUCAGGAGGAAUACCGAUGGCGAAGGCAGGUCUCUGGGCUGACACUGACGCUCAUGCACGAAAGCGUGGGGAGCAAACAGGAUUAGAUACCCUGGUAGUCCACGCCCUAAACGAUGUCGACUGGUUGUUG